UGAAGCCGGGCACUCUGGCGGGACUGCCAUCGACAAGAUGGAGGAAGGUGGGGAGUGACGUCAAGUCAUCAUGGCCCUUAUGUCCAGGGCGACACACGUGCUACAAUGGCCGGCACAGCGGGAAGCGAGGCAGUGAUGCCAAGCGGAUCCCUUAAAGCCGGUCUCAAUUCGGAUUGAAGUCUGCAACUCGACUUCAUGAAGCUGGAAUCGCUAGUAAUCGCAGAUCAGCCAAGCUGCGGUGAAUACGUUCCCGGGCCUU
rnacentral:rRNA from 1 species